rnacentral:rRNA from 1 species
GAUGAACGCUGGCGGCGUGCCUAAUACAUGCAAGUCGAGCGAACGGACGAGAAGCUUGCUUCUCUGAUGUUAGCGGCGGACGGGUGAGUAACACGUGGAUAACCUAUCUAUAAGACUGGGAUAACUUCGGGAAACAGGAGCUAAUACCGGAUGAUAUUUUGAACCGCAUGGUUCAAAAGUGAAAGACGGUCUUGCUGUCACAUAUAGAUGGAUCCGCGCUGCAUUAGCUAGUUGGUAAGGUAACGGCUUACCAAGGCAACGAUGCAUAGCCGACCUGAGAGGGUGAUCGGCCAAACUGGAACUGAGACACGGUCCAGACUCCUACGGGAGGCAGCAGUAGAGAAUCUUCCACAAUGGGCGAAAGCCUGACGGAGCAACGCCGCGUGAGUGAUGAAGGUCUUCGGAUCGUAAAACUCUGUUAUUAGGGAAGAACAUAUGUGUAAGUAACUGUGCACAUCUUGACGGUACCUAAUCAGAAAGCCACGGCUAACUACGUG